AUUGAACGCUGGCGGCAUGCCUUACACAUGCAAGUCGAACGGUAACGGGCCUUCGGGUGCCGACGAGUGGCGAACGGGUGCGUAAUACAUCGGAACGUGCCCGAUCGUGGGGGAUAACGAGGCGAAAGCUUUGCUAAUACCGCAUACGAUCUACGGAUGAAAGCAGGGGACCGCAAGGCCUUGCGCGGACGGAGCGGCCGAUGGCAGAUUAGGUAGUUGGUGGGAUAAAAGCUUACCAAGCCGACGAUCUGUAGCUGGUCUGAGAGGAUGAUCAGCCACACUGGGACUGAGACACGGCCCAGACUCCUACGGGAGGCAGCAGUGGGGAAUUUUGGACAAUGGGCGCAAGCCUGAUCCAGCCAUGCCGCGUGCAGGAUGAAGGCCUUCGGGUUGUAAACUGCUUUUGUACGGAACGAAAAGCCUUCUUUUAAUACAGGAGGGUCAUGACGGUACCGGAAGAAUAAGCACCGGCUAACUACGUG
rnacentral:rRNA from 1 species